rnacentral:rRNA from 1 species
GGUUAAGCGACUAAGCGUACACGGUGGAUGCCCUGGCAGUCAGAGGCGAUGAAGGACGUGCUAAUCUGCGAUAAGCGUCGGUAAGGUGAUAUGAACCGUUAUAACCGGCGAUUUCCGAAUGGGGAAACCCAGUGUGAUUCGUCACACUAUCAUUAACUGAAUCCAUAGGUUAAUGAGGCGAACCGGGGGAACUGAAACAUCUAAGUACCCCGAGGAAAAGAAAUCAACCGAGAUUCCCCCAGUAGCGGCGAGCGAACGGGGAGCAGCCCAGAGCCUGAAUCAGUGUGUGUGUUAGUGGAAGCGUCUGGAAAGGCG